AACGAACGCUGGCGGCAGGCCUAACACAUGCAAGUCGAGCGAGACCUUCGGGUCUAGCGGCGGACGGGUGAGUAACGCGUGGGAAUAUGCCCUUCGGUUCGGAAUAGCCCCGGGAAACUGGGAGUAAUACCGGAUACGGUCUACGGACGAAAGAUUUAUCGCCGAAGGAUUAGCCCGCGUUGGAUUAGGUAGUUGGUGGGGUAAUGGCCUACCAAGCCGACGAUCCAUAGCUGGUUUGAGAGGAUGAUCAGCCACACUGGGACUGAGACACGGCCCAGACUCCUACGGGAGGCAGCAGUGGGGAAUCUUAGACAAUGGGGGAAACCCUGAUCUAGCCAUGCCGCGUGAGCGAUGAAGGCCUUAGGGUUGUAAAGCUCUUUCAGCGGGGAAGAUAAUGACUGUACCCACAGAAGAAGCCCCGGCUAACUCCGUG
rnacentral:rRNA from 1 species